ACAGGAGUGCGAGGAGCACGCACGCUCGUAGAAAAAGUCCUGGCACAGCCUUGGGGGAAAAAAGAACACGGGCAUGAAGACACCCUCAGGAUAACCUACGAUGGGGCGCGGGAAACUUCGGCAAAACAAUCAAAGGGGCCAAGACAUCUCGUUGGAAAACCUGGGGGAUAUUAUGUCGGCAAUGAACCGAAAUGGAAACUGUGGAAG